rnacentral:rRNA from 1 species
AUGCACACCCUCCCCCCAACCCCACGGCCCCGCCCUGACGACAUGGCCGCGAAGAUAGAUGAGGUGAUCGCCGCCAAGCUUGACAAGCCACUGCGCUUCGAUGAUGGGGACGAUGGAGGCAGUGACGGGUCGCUGGACAUGGGGCCUGCCCUGUCCCGUCAAACCCCGUUGGCUGCAAGCAUGCAUGAAGUGCAGCUGGGCACGGUCAUGCAGAGGGUCACAGAGAUGCAGCUCCAAGAGGAGGGAGCCGAGGGCGCACUGCAGCCACCCCUCUUCUCCAAGCCGGCGUCGGCAAUCGUCGGAAAGCCACCGGCGAGUGACAAGACGCCCCUCAAGGCUUGCCCACAGGCCAAGCCGGCCAGGCAGAGCGCACGCCAAGCUGCCAACCCUUCCCCAGUGCCGGUCUCCCAGCGGGCGACGCUCAGGCUAGUGCAGGGCCUCGGGGUCCUCGGGCCAAAGGAGAAGAUGACGGCUCAAGUUGCUGAAGCCCUCAUCCGCCAUUUCGAUGAACCACUGUCUGAUGACGACAUCGCUGCCAUCGCGAAGCUCACCAGCCUCGACGCCAACACGCUCAAGGCGAUCGCUGGCAUGCCUAGCCAGAAUGGAAGCGCCGCGCCGCCCCGUUCCCCAUGUUAG